rnacentral:rRNA from 1 species
GGAAUAUUGCACAAUGGGCGGAAGCCUGAUGCAGCAACGCCGCGUGCGGGAUGACGGCCUUCGGGUUGUAAACCGCUUUCGCCUGUGACGAAGCGUGAGUGACGGUAAUGGGUAAAGAAGCACCGGCUAACUACGUGCCAGCAGCCGCGGUGAUACGUAGGGUGCGAGCGUUGUCCGGAUUUAUUGGGCGUAAAGGGCUCGUAGGUGGUUGAUCGCGUCGGAAGUGUAAUCUUGGGGCUUAACCCUGAGCGUGCUUUCGAUACGGGUUGACUUGAGGAAGGUAGGGGAGAAUGGAAUUCCUGGUGGAGCGGUGGAAUGCGCAGAUAUCAGGAGGAACACCAGUGGCGAAGGCGGUUCUCUGGGCCUUUCCUGACGCUGAGGAGCGAAAGCGUGGGGAGCGAACAGGCUUAGAUACCCUGGUAGUCCACGCUGUAAACGGUGGGUACUAGGUGUGGGGUCCAUUCCACGGGUUCCGUGCCGUAGCUAACGCUUUAAGUACCCCGCCUGGGGAGUACGGCCGCAAGGCUAAAACUCAAAGGAAUUGACGG